UACGUAGGGUGCAAGCGUUGUCCGGAAUUAUUGGGCGUAAAGAGCUCGUAGGCGGUUUGUCGCGUCUGCUGUGAAAACUUAGGGCUUAACUCUGAGCUUGCAGUGGGUACGGGCAGACUUGAGUGCGGUAGGGGAGACUGGAAUCCUGGUGUAGCGGUGAAAUGCGCAGAUAUCAGGAGGAACACCGGUGGCGAAGGCGGGUCUCUGGGCCGUAACUGACGCUGAGGAGCGAAAGCAUGGGGAGCGAACAGG
rnacentral:rRNA from 1 species